rnacentral:misc_RNA from 1 species
AACCAUUCUCACCUGCGGCUAGACCUGCGGAGGGAUCAUUACCGAGUUUACAACUCCCAAACCCCUGUGAACAUACCUAUACGUUGCCUCGGCGGAUCAGCCCGCGCCCCGUAAAAAGGGACGGCCCGCCCGAGGACCCCUAAACUCUGUUUUUAGUGGAACUUCUGAGUAAAACAAACAAAUAAAUCAAAACUUUUAACAACGGAUCU